CGCGCGGAGGACAAGGUGACCAGAGGGUCCCCCGGCAGCGCCCUUCGUAGAAGCAGCCAAUAGGGGAGGAGAAGCGGGAGCGCGCGGGGAAUAAAGGCCCGGCGUCGCCCCCUGCUCCCGGCGUGAACGCGUUCCGAGCCCACCAAACUUUCCGGGUCCUUGCAGUGGGCUUUCCCUGGGGGACGGGGGGCGGGGGUGUGGCUGCCCCGCGGCUCACGCAGAGCCGGGGCUGGGCGGCACGGGCACCUGGGUGACCUUGAGCGCCUCGGCCCGGAUCUUGACCGCAGUUGCCCCUCUCGGAGACUUAUUUCCUCGGUAGGCAGAGUGGACAGAAGGAGAAACAGAGCUCUUUCGUCUGCUGGGUCACUCCCCAAGGACUGGAUCAGGCCGAAGCCAGGAGCCCAGAACUCCAUCCUGGAGCUACUGCUGUGCGGGUAGCAGGGGCCCCGGUACCUGGGCCAUCCUCCCAGGCCCCUUCUCUCAGACCACCACAAAACUCCUCCUUGGGCCUUACCCCUCCCAAUCCACGGACGGUUCCCCUCCCCCGCAGGGAGCUGACUCGGAAGCCGGGGCUGCACUAGGGGCCAGGGGCCCACAGCAGUGUCACCCGCUGUGCCACAUGUCAGCCUCAUUCCCCUGCUGCCUCUGUGUGCCAGAACCGGCCCUGUGGCUUUGAUUUUUUUUUUCUUGUUUUUUUCUUUGAGAGGUGGGGAGGAAGCUUCUGCGAUGGAUUUGAAUCCUGGAUUUAAGUCCGGUUGGGCCCUUUCCCGGCCGCGUGGCCUCGGGAAGUGAGCCUCACUACCAUCCUCUGGAAAGUGGGGAUGAUUUCCGUUUCCAGCUCAGGGGAUUGGAAGAUCUCACGGGGGCCAGGCAUGGAGUAAGUGCGUUUUAUAUUCUGUUCUUUUUUUUUUUUUUGACAGGCAGAGUGGACAGUGAGAGAGAGAGAGACAGAGAGAAAGGUCUUCCUUUGCCGUUGGUUCACCCUCCAAUGGCCGCCGCGGCCGGCGCGCUGCGGCCAGUGCACCGCGCUGAUCCGAUGGCAGGAGCCAGGAGCCAGGUGCUUUUCCUGGUCUCCCAUGGGGUGCAGGGCCCAAGCACUUGGGCCAUCCUCCACUGCACUCCUGGGCCACAGCAGAGAGCUGGCCUGGAAGAGGGGCAACCGGGACAGAAUCUGGCGCCCCGACCGGGACUAGAACCUGGUGUGCCAGCGCCACAAGGCGGAGGAUUAGCCUAGCGAGCCGCGGCGCCGGCUUAUAUUCUGUUCUUACAGGUGCUCAGAGCGGGGCAGAAUACCUCGGGCUGCAGUGAGGGGGGAGGGGCUUUGAGGGGAGAUUAUUCUGGAAGGGCCUCAUUCCAGCUGAGGGCUUCCUGGAGGGGGGGCGAUCUGAACAAGACCUGAUGUAAGGAGAGGGAGGGAGGAACGAGGCAUCCAAGGCAAAGGUUUGAGCUGAAAAGAUUCUGUGUGGCACCCAGGAGCCGGGUGACAGCACAGACACUCCUCCCACACGGGAGUCUGCAGACACAGCCUCCCUCUCAGGCACACACACACACCUCUUUUUUUUUUUUUUUUUUUUUAAGAUUUAUUUGCAAAGAGGAGUUACAGAGACAGAGGUCUUCCAUCUGCUGGUUCACUCCCCAAAUGGCCACAAUGGCCAGAGCUGGGCCAGGCUGAAGCCAGGAGCCAGGAGCUUCCUCUGGGCUCCCAUGUAGGUGCAGGGCCCCAAGGAGCUGCCUUCCCAGGCGCCGCAGCAGGGAGCUGGAUCGGAAGGGGAGCAGCCGGGACUCCAGCCGGCACCCACAUGGGCGGCUUAACCAGCUGCACCACAGCACCGGCCCCCACGCACACCCUAAAGUACAGAGUCGCUUCACACAGAUACACAGCCGUAACCGGGACUGCAGCGUCAGACAAUCCCACUGAUACCCAGAACCACAUCACAGCCAGCUACAAGGUUACAGGGAGAGAAGACACACGCCUCCCAUACUCAGGAGCACAGAGAGCCACACGACUAACCAGAAACACACAGCAGGAAGGACAGUUUCAUCCACACACAGCGAGAGGGAAUGACAGCCUUCACCAACACAGGUUUACAGUUAUGUCACAGAGACCCACACACAGUCACACAAUGACGUCACCACACACACAGUCAGAAACAACAUGGGCACCCAGUGCAGCCACACACACCCCGGAUGCAACCCCACGAAAGAGUCAGCACACAGGGUUCUGGUGCCCACCAAGGCAAGGUCUUUAUGGUGGUCUAGAGGUCUGUGGGUUCAGAGAUUUGUGGAUCCAGUCCCUCCCCCUCCCUAACUCAGCACAGUUCCCUUCAUCAGGGGCCUGAGUCACCCAACGAAGUGGGGGGAGUCAGACCCUCUACCCCCCCCCUUAGCACCAAUCUGGACAGGCCACCCCCUAAAAGUGAACAGACUGAGUGGCGCCUUCCACAAAAGGGGUGAACAGAGCUGGGAGGAGGCGUUUCCUGUGGGAAGCCAAGAGCAGCACCGUCAGAGAAGGGGGCUGGGGGUCAGGGGACAGAGAGGUGGGUGGUCCUGGCCUCUCCCUACCCGUGACAUGCAGAAAGGGCUGUGCACGUGCCUGUGUGGCCGGAGACGUCUCCUCUCCUGGACUCUGAGCCCCACCCAAGGCGGCAAGGAAGCCCCUGUUCUUCCAGACAUCUGGGUUAAACCAGGCGCGCGCGUGUGGGGAGGGCUGGGGUUGAGAGUCAAAGGCAUCCCAGGGCAAUGUGAGGGAUUUGACGUCAGAGAAGCUCCUGGGCAGAGGCCCUGGAGGGUGGGGGUCCAGAAAGGGAAGACUUAAGACUCAGAGUAGGAAUUGGGGCAAGUUCAGCGGAGUGAGAAGCCCAGAGUGGAGUCAGGAGGGUGGGGUCUGGGAUCCAGAAGGCAGGGGUUCAAAGAGACCCACAGCCGUGUCCAGGGUGAAGUUCAGACUCUAGGACCAGAAGCACUGGGGAGCUGGGUUCUAGCACCACAGGACGUGAAGUUUGAAACCAGAGGCAGCUGCAGGCUGCGAGGCAGAGAAGUUUAGAGAGUAGGGACCAGAGCUAGAAAGAAGCCCCCAGACCAAGUUCUGGAGCCACAGGGAUUGGGACUUAUCCAGUCUAGAACAGAAGGAGUCUGGGGUUGUAAGCUCUAGAGGCAGAGAAACGGGUGAGGCAAGGUCCUUGAUCAGACGAUGGAAGGCUGGUUCUAGACCUGGUGUGGGUCUGGAGUGAGGGGAGGUGGACACUGUGAGGACUAGAACUGAAGGGACUUAAAGCGUAGGUCUAGAAUCAGAAGGCGUUAGCAGCUGGGGUCUAGAACCAGACAGGUGGCAGAUCAUGAGGUGUGGGAUUGAGAGUCCAGAACUGAACAGAACUGGGGCGUGGUCUGGUUCUGGAAGAACGGGUCAGGAGGGCCAAGACCUAAAGCUCAGUCCACUUCAUUGUGGUAGGGAAGAAAGUCUUGAUGUAGAAACGAAGAAGCAACUGGGCAUCGCGAUGUUUGGAACCAAGACGACUCGAAGUUAGGAGGUCUGGAUUUGGAACCACACGCAUCACAGUCUGGGAAGAUUAGAACCAACGAGAAGCCUGGAGUUGUGCGGUCCAGAACCAGAGGAAGUCAUUAGUUGUAAGAUCUGGGCCCAAAAGAGGUUAGAGGGUGUGAGACUGAGGACCAGAGGGAUUUACGAGGAGAAAUCCAGAGCAAGAGGAAACCAGAGUUCUAGAGUGAGUUCUAGAGCCGGGGGCAUGGCUGGUCACAGGCUGUAGAUCCAGAGUGCGGAGCGUGUGCGGCCCAGGAUGGGAAAGGCUGUGAGGUCUGGACCAGGCCGUGCUGUGGAUUGUGCGGUCUGGAACCAGGAGAAGGCAGAACGUUGUGCAGCCUAGAACCAGUGGUCAGGUUGCACGGUCUGGAACCAGAGGAGGGUGGAGGCGACCCCAGGAAUAGGAAGACCACAGUGGAGUCACUGCCCUGGUGAAGCUGGGGGUAGCAGGAACUCCUGAGUGGGGGGCCAGCGUGGAAGGCCGAGGCCUCAACAGCAGUCUCUGGGGGUGAGGUCUGGCCCAGUGCCUUCCCCCACUGAUACCUGAGGAGGGGGAAGGUCAGAGCGCCACAUGCUUGUGGACCUUGGGCAAUUCCUAGUGAUUCAAGACCACAUCAGAAAGAGAAGAAGAACAAAACUAAAAGAGGGACAGGGAAAAAAAUGUGAUUUCAGUUAUCCAUACUCAAAUCACGGAUCUGACCCCCAGCCCUCCCCAGCCCUGCAUCCCCAAAAUGAAGCCAAGAGUCGGAGGGAGGGUGGUGAGGUAACCACGGAUCGGGAAGUCCUGAGAGAGGAGGAGGGGGCCGAGCACCCCCUCCCACAGAGGUCACUGAGCUGAGAUCACCCCACUCGGCCCCCCAGCUUGGGAGCACGCAGAGGGGUGGGGGCUGAGGUAGGCCCAGGGCUGGCGGGGGCCGCUCAGGAGGGGGUCCCCAUCCUGUGUGCUGGCUGCCGGCUUGGAGUGUGGCUGAGGUUCUCCCGGGGGCGGGACGCGGAGCUGGCUCAGUGGGCGCGGGCCGAGCUGGCCACUGGCUGGAAGGGGCUCCCAGGCUGGGCGGCGGCGGCGUCCUCCGGGUAGAGAGAGAGCAGCGAGGGUCCCAGGCCUGCGGGGAGAGAUGGGGGGAGCCAUCAGCCCAACCUGUGCCAUCUUCCUAGCAGCCAAACGUGUCCUUCCUGGAUUCCAGCAGCCCCGAGCGCUCAGGCUGUUGAUGGCCAUGGUCAAGAAGAGCCCCAGUUCAGAGCCGGACGGCUGUCCCAGCAUGAAUCCAAGGCUUCUCGGGUGCUUGUGGUGUGAUCUGGGGGCAAAGUGACUUGACCUGGCUGGGCCUCGGUCUUCUCAUCUGUACAAUGGGCAAAUGGCACCAUCCUCUCGGGGCUACUGUGAGGAGUAUAGGAGUGAAUCUACGUGCAGCGCUUUGAGCGUCAACUGCUACUGGUGGGUGCUUAGUGAGUGAGCUUCGCACCUGCCAUGUUUAUGAGGAUUUACUCAUUCAAAAUGUACCUGCUAAUCACUUCUCGGCCUUUCGGCUAAGAUCAAGUACAAAAUAUACCCACUGUUCAUGA